AAACUUUUUAUUUUUAAUUUCCCCUCCUGUUAGUCUUUCCUGUUAUUUGCUCCAGUGAAAAUUCAGUGAGCACAAAUACAAAUUGCAAGAACCAAGUGCCUUACCACUUCCAUCCUUAAUAUUUAUUGCCCAUUGUUGGCAUCUUCACAUUUGUUUAUUUGUUGAUGGACCAGAUAAUCUAAUUAGAUCAAGAGCCAUACUAUCACCAACUGUGUGAAAUAUAGAAAUUGAUGUCUCAUUUAUCAGUUUCAACUCUGCAUAAUUAAAAAGAAAAUUUGAAUAUUUAUUUUAUUUGAGUGCAUAAGAAUAUUGUUUUAAUUUCUAAUCACAGAAUUAUUUAAGUCAACUGUUUUAUUGGUUAAUCAAUUCAGAACUGCUUUCAGCCAUUUUAUUACAUAUAGCAUUUUGUUUACAGUAUACUAUAUGAUGAGUGUUUCUAUGGAAUAUUUGAGAGAUGGUUUGUGGUCUUUAAAAUUUUAUAAUCAAGGUAAUGCUUGUCAAUUUCAUUUUGUAACUGUUGAAAAUUAACAGCAUAUCAGUGUUGGUGACAUUGUUGGUAUAAAUAAUUAAAUUAGGACUUCAGACCAAUUUCUUAUUAUUUCAGCUAUUUUAUUUCUCCUUCUUUGGAAUUUUUUAUUAGCUGAAAUUACUGUAGUCCUCACUAUAUACUGUAGUCCUCACUAUAGCUACUCAACCCAUGUCAGACCAUGCACUGUUCUCUUAGGUUACACAGAGAAAUAAUCUCUGCCCUCAAGAAAUUCCCAAUCUGGUAGAGGUGAUAAACAAACAUACCAAAAAUUACAAUCCAGAGUGAUAAGUACUGUGUAAGAUACCUAUUAACGUAAAUAUGCACCUUUAUAUGGCUGUGGGAAGACAAAAAAGGAAAAUUGACUUCUUUUCCUUUGCAAAUUUGUAUUGUAUUGAUUCUUAAAGAUCAGUGAAUAAUUACCAAGGUAAAGAAGAAAGGAAAGACUUUCCAGAAAGAGACAAUGCAUUUUAUUCACUUAAGUUUACUAUUUUUAUAAGGCAUGACAGUUAGAUAGUGGUUAUUUCAUAUGGCUCAGACUCAUGAGAAGGCAGCAAGGAUAAGGGAGACUUAAGGACAUUACUUGUAUUUUGGUAUAUUUAAAGCUUAUAGUAUUUUAGAAGAGCAGUGAGAAUCAGAAAUCAAUAUGGUCACAGCAGAUUAUCAAAGAUUAUAUAUUUUUUAGCUAAAGAUAAAUAUCCAUUUCAUAUUACAAAAAUUAAUGAGAAGCUUGUAGAAAACAGUAUUAGAUCAAACUGACAAGGCAGGGUAAGGUAGGUAUUGGAUUAUUUGUAACAUGGUUUCUCAUCAGUAGUGCCAUUAAGAACGAGCUAUAAUUAAUUGUAUUGACACCAGUGGUUGUAAUAUUCCAUGGAAAUGAGUUUUCUAAAUAACAGCUUAUCUUUUCUAAAACAAAACUUUUAAAUUUUACCUUUUGUAAUUUGAUCACUCUUCACCCAUUCUUAAAUUCAGUAUUUUAAAUAUAAUUUGACCUUUAUAUUAAUAUUUAGAGUUAUUAUGACCCUCAAUUUUGUUUUGUGCUUUUAGAGGCAGUAUUACAGUUCAUUGUUGUUGGGAUGUGAGGAAUUAUUUAAUUAAACAGACUUGCCUCCAGAUUGCUUAACUUUUGUUAUGUUGAUUUUCAUGUUUCUGCGUUGGUCACUUAGGGAGGCUUAAUGACCCUAAUCUACUGAAAUAUUUUACAUUGAGUUUUCUAAUUAAGAGACAGAAUAUAAAAAGACCUACCUGCCUAAACUUUUAUUUACUCCUGGUUUGUUAUAUAUUUCUAUUUACUUUGGAGUAAAACCCAAAUUGGUAAAGUCAAUGUUAAUUUCAAAUAAGUUAGAGAUGUUUAUAAAUUAAGUUCUUUAUUUUUUUCCCCCCUGGGGAUUAAAGCCAGGGGCAAUCUACCACCAAGGCACAUCCCCAGCCUUUUUUAUUUUAUAUUUUGAGACAGGGUCUUGCUAAGUUGCAGAGGCUGCCCUCAAAUUUAGGAUCCUCCUGUAUCAGUCUCCCACGUUGCUGUGAUUAUAAGGCAUGCACCACCACACCUGGAGGAUUUUUUUUUAAUGUUAGCAAUUUGUAAAAUUCAUAUUAUUUCUAAUUCUUGAGUAUUGGUAAUGAUCACUAAUUUAUACGUUUUUAGUACUUGAUGGUAACUCAAAAGGUUGAGUUGAACUCAACUCAAUUUGGAACUUUUGCAUAAAACUUACAGAUUAAUGCAUUCCAUAUAAAGACUGAAGUUCUUAUUCUGUUGUAAGCUUUAGGACAAAUCACGAUUGAUUUGUGAGAUUUAAAUUUAGUUUUACAAAUUGCCUGGGUAAAAGGCAGCUAAGCCAUUUAAAUAUUACAUAUACUUUCAGUGGUUCUGGUGCCCAACAUAGAACCUUGCAAUAAAUUUCAGAAAUUCAUGAUUCUUUUGUUAUUGUAUUUCCCAUCUGGAAUCUUAAUAGUAACUAGAAACUAGUUUAAUUGAAUUUUCAGGAUGAAUUUUUCAUUUUUAAGUGAACACAAUCAGUGAAAAUUCCUCCUACCUCUAUUCAGAUCUUCUGUUUAUCAGAUAAUCAAAAGAACAAAUAACAUAUGUAAAUAAAAAUAUUUUCAAUAGGUAACCUAAAAUAUACAAUGAGUCCCAAGGCAAAUGGUAAUGUAAAAACUUUGAAAUAUGCUACCUAGUUGUGCUGUUGUCUUAUUUAAGUUUUUAUACAAGUUACCGUUUUUGUAUAAAAGCUAAAAUAGCAAAAAUGAUAUAUACCGAUUAGACAUAUUUAAGCAGCAUAGUUUUUUAUUCCUUAAUGUUCUGCCAAUGAUGUCCAGUUUUCAAAUCUUAAUCCACUCAUUUUGAACAGUAAAAAAUGUGUUUAGUCUACUGCUGGUAAGGUACAUAAGUUGUUUCUUCUCCAGAGCGAAGUUACCCUGCUGAGAAAUGAAGUGGCACAGCUGAAACAGCUUCUUCUGGC
rnacentral:lncRNA from 1 species